UGGGGAAUAUUGCGCAAUGGACGAAAGUCUGACGCAGCGACGCCGCGUGAAGGAGGAAGGUCUUCGGAUUGUAAACUUCUGUUACGUGGGAAGAAAUGCCUAUAGUUAAUAACUGUAGGAGCUGACGGUACCACUAGAGAAAGCACCGGCAAACUUCGUGCCAGCAGCCGCGGUAAUACGAAGGGUGCAAGCGUUAUUCGGAGUUACUGGGCGUAAAGAGCGCGUAGGCGGUUGUAUAAGUUAGCUGUUAAAUUCUUCGGCUCAACCGGGGACGAGCAGCUGAUACUGUACGGCUAGAGGUCAAGAGAGAGAAGUGGAAUUCUUGGAGUAGCGGUAAAAUGCGUAGAUCUCAAGAGGAACACCGAUUGCGAAGGCAGCUUCUUGGCUUGUACCUGACGCUGAGGCGCGAAAGCGUGGGGAGCAAACAGG
rnacentral:rRNA from 1 species